CCGAAGCGGUCCAGUGGAAAAUAGUUCACUUCCGCAGUGCCCUGCUGCACGGGGCCCACUGCAUGUUUCCUUUGAUCGGAGCCGAUUGAAGGACAAAAC
rnacentral:sRNA from 1 species